rnacentral:rRNA from 1 species
CGGGGUGAGUAAUGCUUGGGAAUCUAGCUUAUGAGGGGGAGUAACUACGGGAAACUGUAGCUAAUACCGCGUAGUAUCGGAAGAUGAAAGUGUGGGACCUUCGGGCCACAUGCCAUAGGAUGAGCCCAAGUGGGAUUAGGUAGUUGGUGAGGUAAAGGCUCACCAAGCCGACGAUCUCUAGCUGGUCUGAGAGGAUGACCAGCCACACUGGGACUGAGACACGGCCCAG